CCCGCAGGGCGAUCCCCACCUGCGCACGGCUCACGGGCUCCUCAGCUGCUACUGGGCCGGUACCGUUCACUGCGGGCUGGGCCUGGCGCUGGCCGGGGCCGCGGGGCGCAGGAAGCGCUGCCGGCCGCUGGGGCUCUUCUGGCUGGGCUCGCUGCUGAUGAGCGCCGUGGUUUUCCUGCUGGGCAGCCUGAUCGGGAAGUACAGCUCCGAGCUGAGCCCGGCCUUCCUCCUCAACCUGCCCUACCUCCUCCUCCUCGCCUGGACCGGCCUCCGGCUCUUCCAGCAGCCGCGGGCGCCGCCGAGCCUCAGCCCCGCCGAGUGCCUCUCGCAGAUUGAGGAGGAGCAGCGCAAACCCCUCCACCGCCGGCCCCUG